rnacentral:misc_RNA from 1 species
UUUCCGUAGGUGAACCUGCGGAAGGAUCAUUCAUAAUAAGUGUUUUAUGGCACUUUUUUAAAUCCAUAUCCACCUUGUGUGCAAUGUCAAGGUUGGCCUCUUUAGAUCAGCCCCAAACAUCAACUAUUAUCUCAACUCUUUGUCUGAAAAAUAUUAUGAAUAAAACAAUUCAAAAUACAACUUUCAACAACGGAUCUCUUGGCUCUC